rnacentral:rRNA from 1 species
CACGUAGUUAGCCGUGGCUUAUUCAAGAGGUACCGUCUUCUGCUCUUCCCUCUUAAAAGAAGUUUACAACCCGAAAGCCUUCUUCCUUCACGCGGCGUUGCUGGGUCAGGCUUGCGCCCAUUGCCCAAUAUUCCCCACUGCUGCCUCCCGUAGGAGUCUGGGCCGUAUCUCAGUCCCAAUGUGGCCGGUCAACCUCUCAGUCCGGCUACUGAUCGUCGCCUAGGUGGGCCGUUACCCCGCCUACUAGCUAAUCAGACGCGAGGCCAUCUUCCAGCGAUAAAUCUUUGACAUUCAAACCAUGCGAUUCAAAUGUGUCAUGCGGUAUUAGCAGUCGUUUCCAACUGUUGUCCCCCUCUGGAAGGCAGGUUCCUCACGCGUUACUCACCAGUCCGCCACUAAGCAUUCCUCUCCAUUGUCCGAAAACUCUUUCAAGGGUGCUCCGUUCGACUUGCAUGUGUUAAGCACGCCGCCAGCGUUCGUCCUGAGCCAGGAUCAAACUCU